ACAAAAGGCAGCUGGGCAUGGUGGCACAAGCCUUAAUCCCCAGCACUUAGGAGGCUGAUGCAGGAAGAUCACUGUGAGUUUGAGGCCAGCCUGGGCUACAAAGUGAGUUCAAGGACAGCCUGAACUGCAUGGUUAAACCCUGUCUCAAAAGGAACAAACAAACAAACAAACAAUACCCCCCCCCCGCCCAAAAAGCAAAAUAUUUCAGUGCUUGGAAACAACCAGAGAAAAGGUGAGGAGUCCCGUGCUCCUUCCUUUCCCAGGGCUGUCACUCUCCGUGGACGGCUCCGUGGCUGGGUUUGUUUGUCCUCCCUCCACCUCCUUCAGGGCCUGGAGCCCACUGGGGCAGGACUGAGAAGCCCAGACAGUGGCCCAGUGCCCAGGAGCCUCGAAGCCAGGAAGCAGAGAUUCUGCACACAAAAUGGGCUGAAAAGUGGCCCCGGAGGAGCGGGUAGGGGCGGGCUCCAGGAGGAGGUCCCGCCUAUUCCGUAGCACAAAGCCUGUGUUCAGUUAUUAUUUUUUGGUGGAGUAAAUUGCCAAAUGAAUGGUGAGAUCAGCAAGUCCUGGAGGAGGCAGGGCUGGGAGCUGGUGACAGGAGGGCUGGUGGAGCACAGUUUCAAGCCGGACUGCCAAGCUCUUCUCAGGAGGGUAGAAGCUACACUGAGGACCCCUGUGCUGGAGGGAACCCCUGAGAGCCAGAUGCUGAAACCCUCAGAGAAGGGGCCCAGCCCCUGGGGCCCUCCAAGCCCUCUGCUGGCCCUGGGCUUGCUCCUUCCUGUGGAAUGGCUUGACUUUUGCUGGGAAGUCUGUGCGGGCAGCGGUGGCCAGGUCGGAGCGCGGCGUGUCGGUGACUCCUGGUGGCGUCUGCGUGUUUGUCCAGAACUCUGGAGGAGAAGAGGCCUCUCCUCACCCAGCACCGGCCACAGUGGGUGUUCUUCCCGCAGAGCACAGCUUUCUCAGGCCUGCUACACCCCCGCCGCCGCCCGCACCCAGGGGCUGAGCUGGCCAAGCUCAGGAAUUGAUGAAGCCUUUGCGCAUUCUGAGGUGCAAUUGGAGGUGGCCCUGAGAGCCCCUACCUGGAACUCUGGAACCCAGACCCCAGUUUUGCCUCGCGGCCACCUGACCCUGUCUGCACACCUGAGUGUUCACUGGACUCGGCACCUGGGGGGACCUGGGCGCCUCCAGGACCCAGGGCUCUGCGGCAGCACUUUCUGUCUGUCUCCGCCCUCUUGGCUGUGUUGA
rnacentral:lncRNA from 1 species